rnacentral:rRNA from 1 species
AGCGAACGCUGGCGGCAGGCCUAACACAUGCAAGUCGAACGGAUCCUUCGGGAUUAGUGGCGGACGGGUGAGUAACACGUGGGAACGUGCCCUUUGGUUCGGAACAACUCAGGGAAACUUGAGCUAAUACCGGAUGUGCCCUUCGGGGGAAAGAUUUAUCGCCAUUGGAGCGGCCCGCGUCUGAUUAGCUAGUUGGUGAGGUAAAGGCUCACCAAGGCGACGAUCAGUAGCUGGUCUGAGAGGAUGAUCAGCCACAUUGGGACUGAGACACGGCCCAAACUCCUACGGGAGGCAGCAGUGGGGAAUCUUGCGCAAUGGGCGAAAGCCUGACGCAGCCAUGCCGCGUGAAUGAUGAAGGUCUUAGGAUUGUAAAAUUCUUUCACCGGGGACGAUAAUGACGGUACCCGGAGAAGAAGCCCCGGCUAACUUCGUGCCAGCCGCCGCAGUAA